UCCGCACAGAGCUUCAUAACCUCUUCAUGGACUUUUUAUCUUCAAGCCGAUGACGGAAAAAUAGUUAUAUUCCAGUCUAAGCCAGAAAUCCAGUACGCACCACAUUUGGAGCAGGAGCCUACAAAUUUGAGAGAAUCAUCUCUAAGCAAAAUGUCCUCAGAUCUGCAAAUGAGAAAUUCACAAGCGCACAGGAAUUUUCUUGAAGAUGGAGAAAGUGAUGGCUUUUUAAGAUGCCUCUCUCUGUAUUAACUCUGGGUGGAUUUUAACUACAACUCUUGUCCUCUCGGUGAUGGUAUUGCUUUGGAUUUGUUGUGCAACUGUUGCUACAGCUGUGGAGCAGUAUGUUCCCUCUGAGAAGCUGAGUAUCUAUGGUGACUUGGAGUUUAUGAAUGAACAAAAGCUAAACAGAUAUCCAGCUUCUUCUCUUGUGGUUGUUAGAUCUAAAACUGAAGAUCAUGAAGAAGCAGGGCCUCUACCUACAAAAGUGAAUCUUGCUCAUUCUGAAAUUUAAGCAUUUUUCUUUUAAAAGACAAGUGUAAUAGACAUCUAAAAUUCCACUCCUCAUAGAGCUUUUAAAAUGGUUUCAUUGGAUAUAGGCCUUAAGAAAUCACUAUAAAAUGCAAAUAAAGUUACUCAA
rnacentral:lncRNA from 1 species